AAAAAAAAAAAAUACACUAUCAUACCAAUUGUAUAAAUUCAAAAACAAACACAAAAUAAUAUUUAACUAAUAAUUCAACACAACAAGGAUUUUAACAACCACUUAUCAUUAUGUUAUAUACAUAAUUUAUUUAUGAAUUUUUGAUGACAUUUUUUAUGGCUGUACCUGUAAAAUUGCUUAUUCACAGAUGUCUUUAUCUGACAGACAUUUCAAAAGAGGAAUAGUGGAUUGCAUAAUGAUUAAUUAGAAGCCAGCAAGAACAUAAAUUUGCACUGCAAUUAUACAAAUUUCCAGCGCAUAUCAUGUCACCGAGAACAGGGAAAAAAUUUAAAAGAUAAGAAGAUAAAAAAAAGUUGUUUUUCUCGGGACAUGUUUGGUUGGUGUGUGGUUUCCUAACUCGCGCUGGAAACAAACAAUCUAACUUAUCGCUGGUCCUUUCUGUGUGACGCCAACAUUUUUUUUCUGCUGCAGAAACGAUGAGAAAAUAUCUGACGUUGCCUAUAAUAACAAGGCAAUGCACAAAAAAUUGGACUACCGAAUCCGGCCUGAAAGUGGAGGAUGGGAGGCUAAUCUAUAUUCCAGUUUACGCUCUUCACCACGACCCGACCUUUUUCCAAAACCAAAUAACUUCGGCCCUGACAGGUUCUCCGAAUUAAAUAAAUCGUCCAUCACCCAAUACGUCUAUUUACCGUUCGACAAGGGCCUAAUUUGCAUGGGUUGGCUGGUAAUUUUUAAAAAUAACAACUGAUUUUUAACUUUUACUGAUUAGGAUUAAUAUUAUUUGCCCACAUCCUCACUGUUUUAUACCAAACGUGGCAUAUAUCCCAUUGUUUGCUUUUCUUCGCACUCCGUUAGUUCCGUUUUCAAGAUAAUAGGAUUUGCUUUAAAACAAAGGAAACGUUAUGCGCUUAUUUCAUUAAU